rnacentral:rRNA from 1 species
UACGAAGGGGGCUAGCGUUACUCGGAAUGACUGGGCGUAAAGGGCGCGUAGGCGGUUUGCACAGUUAGGCGUGAAAUUCCUGGGCUCAACCUGGGGGCUGCGCUUAAUACAUGUAGACUGGAGUGUGAAAGAGGGUCGUGGAAUUCCCAGUGUAGAGGUGAAAUUCGUAGAUAUUGGGAAGAACACCGGUGGCGAAGGCGGCGACCUGGUUCAUUACUGACGCUGAGGCGCGAAAGCCAGGGGAGCAAACGGG